AUUCUUUUAGAAGGUUCUAGAAUAUUCUUAGAAGAUUCUAGAAUAUUCUGAUAGAUUCUAGGAAGUUGCUCGAGAAGUUUUCUAAUUAGUAGAAGUUGUUGGAGAAGCGUCCUAGUUAGCGGAAGUAGCUCGAGAAGCUUCCUAUUCAGUAGUAUAUAUAGGAGUCGAGGCUGAAGGGUUCUUCAGUCUCGACAACACAUCUCUUGGAGUUCUAGCUCACCUUUCUGGUGUUGUUCUUGUACUCAUCUGUUUAAUCUAGUUCUGCCACUUCUUCUUGAAC
rnacentral:lncRNA from 1 species